GACAAAUAAACCGAAUGCCCUCAUAUAAUAAUGGGAAUAUGGCCCAUGAGUCUCUACCUGACUACCGUAAAUGGUCGGACUAUGAGGGAAAGUAGCUGUCUG
rnacentral:ncRNA from 2 species